AGUUUUAUGUGCAAAUAAUUGAAAUUCAAAAUGGCGACGCCUCCCGAUUCUCCCGUGGAGGAGCAUGCGUACGAGUUGGAGCCGACGCGGACGCCGAAGCCGAUUCCCGUGGCGCUGGAGGAGCUGUGCCGGCAGACCAAGUUCUCCAAGCAGGAGAUACGAGUCAUGUAUCGGGGGUUUAAAACGGAAUGUCCGGAAGGCGUGGUACACGAGGAGUCGUUCAAAGAUAUUUACGCCAAGUUUUUCCCUCACGGCAAUUCAGCUCUAUACGCCCACUACGUGUUCAAAGCCUUCGACGUUAACUGCAGUGGGUCCAUCAGCUUUAGGGAGCUUCUAGUAACCCUAUCGACGCUGCUCCGCGGCUCUGUGUACGAGCGGCUCCGCUGGGCCUUCCGUUUGUAUGACGUGGACGGCGACGGGGCCAUCACGCGCGGCGAGCUGGCUGAAGUGGUGGUCGCUGUUCACGAGUUGCUGGGGCGUCGGGCGCCGCCGGGGUCGCCUCAUGCGAGACUGGACGACGCUAAGGCUAACGAACAGGUAUGGUGCUACGUGCUACAUACGCGGCGAGCUGGCUGAAGUGGUGGUCGCUGUUCAUGAGUUGCUGGGGCGUCGGGCGCCGCCGGGGUCGCCUCAUGCGAGACUGGACGACGCUAAGGCUAACGAACAGGUUGACCGAGUUUUCACCAAGCUAGACCUGAACCAGGACGGCGUAAUCACCAUCGAGGAGUUCCUCGAGUCCUGCCUCAAAGAUGACGUGAUCAUGCGGUCACUGCAGAUGUUCGACACGGCGCUAUGACGGCAGACCGACACGCACGCGCGCUCCGACUUCAGGACGGAAUCCAAGCGUCCGCUGCCCCGGCACGUGUGCCGCUGCACGCGCGCGCCGCUGCACGCGGCCGCCGCGGCGUGCUGGUCGCGCGCACGCGAGCUCGCGCGCCGGUUAGCCGCACUCCAGCACCUGUACCACGUCUGGCGACCCAGGAUUAACGCCAAGCUGUUUCUGGCCUUCUAAGCGGACGCUCCCUUACUGCGCUGCUGCACUUAUACCACGU